rnacentral:rRNA from 1 species
UGGGGAAUCUUGCGCAAUGGGCGAAAGCCUGACGCAGCGACGCCGCGUGGGGGAAGAAGGCCUUAGGGUUGUAAACCUCUUUCAGCAGGGACGAAGCCACUCGGGUUAAUAGCCCAGAGGGUGACGGUACCUGCAGAAGAAGCCCCGGCUAACUACGUGCCAGCAGCCGCGGUAAUACGUAGGGGGCAAGCGUUGUCCGGAUUUAUUGGGCGUAAAGAGCGUGUAGGCGGCCGCACAGGUCCGUUGUGAAAACUGGAGGCUCAACCUCCAGACGUCGAUGGAAACCGUGCGGCUAGAGUCCGGAAGAGGAGAGUGGAAUUCCUGGUGUAGCGGUGAAAUGCGCAGAUAUCAGGAAGAACACCCGUGGCGAAGGCGGCUCUCUGGGACGGUACUGACGCUGAGACGCGAAAGCGUGGGGAGCGAACAGGAUUAGAUACCCUGGUAGUCCACGCCGUAAACGAUGGGUGCUAGGUGUGGGGGGUGUCGACUCCCCCCGUGCCGAAGCUAACGCAUUAAGCACCCCGCCUGGGGAGUACGGCCGCAAGGCUAA